GGAUAUGUGAGGAAAACGCUUCACAGGGUGGAAACAAGGACACACUCCUAAGAGUCGUUUUGAA
rnacentral:ncRNA from 1 species